UCUCUUGGUUCUGGCAUCGAUGAAGAACGCAGCGAAAUGCGAUAAGUAAUGUGAAUUGCAGAAUUCAGUGAAUCAUCGAAUCUUUGAACGCACAUUGCGCCCCCUGGUAUUCCGGGGGGCAUGCCUGUUCGAGCGUCAUU
rnacentral:rRNA from 1 species